rnacentral:rRNA from 1 species
AUUGAACGCUGGCGGCAUGCUUUACACAUGCAAGUCGAACGGCAGCACGGGAGCAAUCCUGGUGGCGAGUGGCGAACGGGUGAGUAAUACAUCGGAACGUGCCCAGUAGUGGGGGAUAGCCCGGCGAAAGCCGGAUUAAUACCGCAUAUGCCCUGAGGGGGAAAGCGGGGGACCGAAAGGCCUCGCGCUAUUGGAGCGGCCGAUGGCUGAUUAGCUAGUUGGUGGGGUAAAGGCCCACCAAGGCGACGAUCAGUAGCUGGUCUGAGAGGACGACCAGCCACACUGGGACUGAGACACGGCCCAGACUCCUACGGGAGGCAGCAGUGGGGAAUUUUGGACAAUGGGCGCAAGCCUGAUCCAGCAAUGCCGCGUGUGCGAAGAAGGCCUUCGGGUUGUAAAGCACUUUUGUUUGGAAAGAAAAGGUCAGUGCUAAUACCACUGGCUGAUGACGGUACCAAUCGAAUAAGCACCGGCUAACUACGUGCCAGCAGCCGCGGUAA